rnacentral:lncRNA from 1 species
GGGCAAUUUUGUAUUGAUUUUUGUGGGGCUUUGAAUGGUGCGCAACCCUCCCUACUUAUAGUGAAAGUUACACCCGUCCGCUUGAUACUCUUGGAGAGUCCUAAUUGGACUCUGUCUUGUGGAAUUGCAUCUGGUUGUACAUUCGUCUUAUAUCCUUUAGCCAAGGAUCAUAUCCCUUUAUGCCAAUAAGCUUCCCGCCUUGAAAUAUGCCAAUAAUAUGCAUGU